rnacentral:rRNA from 1 species
UACGUAGGGUGCAAGCGUUGUCCGGAAUUAUUGGGCGUAAAGAGCUCGUAGGCGGUUUGUCGCGUCUGCCGUGAAAGUCCGGGGCUCAACUCCGGAUCUGCGGUGGGUACGGGGCAGACUAGAGUGAUGUAGGGGGAGACUGGAAUUCCUGGUGUAGCGGUGAAAAUGCGCAGAUAUCAGGAGGGAACACCGAUGGCGAAGGCAGGUCUCUGGGGCAUUAACUGACGCUGAGGAGCGAAAGCUAGGGGAGCAAACGGGG